CUAGACAGUUGGUCCCUAAUCUGAAAACCUGUCUAUCAAGCUUCAGAUAGAAUAAGACUUCUUUCAGAGAUGAAUAGGAUGGCCUGAGUAUUGACUUACAAUUUGAGGAUAUUUUUGAAGUUGGAGGUAAGAUAAAGGCCACAGUCCAUUAGAAAUCCUGCCUGGUGAUUCAUCAUCAUAAAAUUUUUCCCAAUUUUUUUUUUUUUUUGCUGGGACAACUCAAUACUAGCAUUAGACUAAUGUUACAAUUCUAGAAAAUAGACUUGGUUUAAAUCAAUCACUUUUUAAAACCAAAUGCCAAGUUAACUGGUUAACUCCAAACAGAAGUUGACAUUGAAAUCUGAAAUCUUAUUUAAUGCAGUUGUUAUUUAAGACCUACUUACUACACAGUCUGAAAGAUGGGUCUAGAAGUUAUAUUAUAAUACACUGAAUGUAUUUUGCUUAAAUCGUCAAAUAUUCAAUUAUUAGAGGAACUGAAAUAGGAAUUCAGCCCACCUUCCCCCAGUCUGUAGAGAGACCUAUUGGCUAUUUAAGCAAAGUCCUGUAUUUUUUUGUUGUCUCUUGGUAACAGAGACCUUGUUUGUCUAUAGGAAAAGUAGGAUUUAUUUUGGAAAACAGCUAUGUAAAAAUCCUAUCUGAGAAUUUGGAAUUUUUUUUAAGUAUGGACAUAAUUCAGGAUGGUAGGAAUAUAUUUUUCAUUAAACAACAGAUAUGUCUUUAGUUCAAAGUGCCAGAUUCCUCAUGGUUUUUCUUUUAAAGGCAUCUCUCUCUGUCUUUCUCUCUCUCUCUCUGCCUCUCUCUCACACACACAUAAUCUCCAGGAUUCUAUAAUUCAUGGUAUUGUAAUGAAAACAAAUGAAAUCUUCACGGUAUGGUGGAAAGAACACGAGCCCGAGGGUUAGGAUCCCUGAAUUCUCCUCUUGACUCUGUCAGUAGUUAGCUGUGUGAUCUUAGGUCAUUCAUUAAAUAACUGGGCCUCAGUUUCCCUACCCACAGAAUGAGCAUAUUGAGCUCAAUAAUCUCAAAAGUUCUCAAGUUGCAAACCUAUAAACUUGACUUUGAAUGGAAGGAGAAGUGGAAGGAAGAUUUUUGUGGGAUUUAUUCACCAAGGAAACAGGAUUCACCAUUUGGUUACUAACUGAGGGAAGCAAUUCUAUGUGGUCAUGGGGACAGAGAAACUGACAAAGUGGUGUCUUUCCUGGAGUUCUCAUGAUGCCAGGCCAUAGGAGGGUUAAAAGGUGGUGUCGGGGAGGGGGGAGGCAAUUCACUCUUCAAAGUCAAGGCAGCAUCCUUUUUUGAGGACAGAUGUAGAGUCUUUGUUCCGUGUUCCUCACUCUGCUGGUUUCUACUCAGAUACCAUCCGGAAGUUUCCUGACUGGAAAGCACUGUCCAGUCUGCCAUAACCUACCCUCCUGGCCUCGUCUGCCACACACACUCUCUGCCAGCUUACAGAACCCAGCGGGGACCUCCACCUACCUCCCGAUUUUGUUCUCCCAUCAUUUAGGGGAUUGUAUAGUGCUGCUAUUUCCCAAGGCAAAGGAUGAAGACCGAUAGUAUCUCUGCUCCAUUGUGAGUUUACCUGAAGCAUCCUCCCUGGGCAUCCUGGCUGAUACAACCACAUCACCUUUUAUCCCAUAACCUGCCUCCUUGUUCUUCAGGAGGUGUAUCAGCCCUGGACACAGAAUUAUUUACUUAGGUGUCUGCCACCCCUACGAGAGUAUACGUUCUAGCAGGGUUUUGAUAACCUGCUUUAUUCUCAACACAGAAAGCAGAGCCUUGGAACAUAAUAGGCACAUAAUCAAUAUUGGUUGAAUUAAUAAAACAUGUAUUAUGGGACAUCCAGACCUGUGAUCUAAUGUUCUGACCAGUUGAUCCCCACAAGCCCCUAUCCCCAAGGAGAAAUUCAACGAAUGUGCAUUCCACUAAGGUACCAGACUUCAUUUAAUCCUCACUGUGAUUUCUGUCAAGGGGGUACUUUGGCCCCAUUUUACAGAUGAUAAAACGGACAUUUAAGGAGCUGAAGGGGCUGAAGGGCCUUGCUAUAGGGCACAUGGCAACUGAGUAGCAGCUGAGAAUGAACUCAGGCUUUCUGACUUCGAGUCCACUGUGCAUGGCCCUAUUUCAUUCACCACGUCUGCAUCUUCUCUGAUUGUUUCCCCAUCUUUAAUGGUACCAUGUGCAUUGAAUCAAGCUUUCAUAGAUGGAGUAACUAGAUUCAAUGGAAGACUGCCUAGAACUAAGAUGCAGGUUUUGAAACCAGGUCAUCUCUUGAGCAGCAACCAGGAUCACGUGAUUUUCAACACUGAUAAUAUCAACUGUGGGGAGCAGGGGUGGGGUAGGUGUUGUUUAAUAUCGCAGGUUAACUUGUCUGUGGCCAAAGAAGAGUGGAACGGCUCCUGAAAAUUUUGGUAUUCCCAACGUGAUGCUCAGAGCCUUCCCAGGAGACAUUCUUGGAAAGGAGGAGAGAACAUGACACAGAAGGACUUAUAACAAGGGCAGCAAGAUUAAGAUUUUGAAAUCAAAACGAGUUGUGCAAAUUAUGCACAGAAUAAAAAGCUUCUGCAAAGCAAUCCAGACUUCCCUGGCACCCUGGACCAAAUACCUCCGCAGUGUGGAGACCCACGUAUUUUGAAAUAUAGACAUGCCUUAUAUUCAAGGAAGAAACAUGCAGGUGCAUAAAAAUCACAUUCCAGAAUUACUCAAAUAUGAUUUGUCAAGGUCACUCAAGCUGGGAACACACAUUCUAGAUUUCUUUCUACAGACCUCAAUCUGUAUAGAACUGGAUUUCGUGGACAUGCAGGUAUAGGUCCUUAGAAGUUCAGAUAAGCACGAUAUUUUAGGAACAGAAGAUUGGAAAGAUAUGCUGUAGAGGUAAUUUAGUCCCACUGUCUCACUUGUACAAAGAUUUUGAAGUUCAAACAGGUUCAGUGGACUGUGCAUUCUCACAUGGAGGCGAGAAAUCCACUGGCCUCCCUUUGUCCACUGUCCUUUCCAAACAGUGUUUGAACCCUUGCAGGAAUAGGGUCUAGGAACCUCAAGAUCCAAAGGUCACACAGGAACAGGAAAUUGUGUGGCUUUCACACAACUUAAAUACCGAAGUAUACACUAACAACUCAAUCCUUCAGCAUUUUGGGGACUGCAGUCCCUUCUCAGGACUUGAGAAGCCACUGCUCUGUGGGUGGGUCUGCAGAACCAGAUCACCUGGAUGAGAGACGAAGGUGCUCCCGAGGAGGGUUUGGGGGGACUCAGAGGCUCCCACCACCCACCUGAAAAAGAAGACCUUCACUUCCAUCCUUAGCGUGAAGGAUGGGGGGCCUCGCCUAAGCCUGUUCUCACUGCCUGCCAUGCCAAUCCUUGUGUGUGUCUCUAAAGAGGUUAGCACAUCCUGGGUACACAGACCACAGCUUCCUCCAUUUGCUCAGGGCCUUAGAGGUCUGAGCAUCAUGGAGCUAUUGCUUCACUUCUCCUUAGGGUGUCCACAUCAAGACCCUGGAGCCAUCUUCCCACCCUUCCGGAUCAGAGGGACUGCCUCUGGUUUUUCCAGACUGACUCCGGCUUGGUGUUGCGGGAUAGCCUGGAAGCCGACUCCAGGUCCCAUUCAUUCCUCUCGGUCCUCUAAGGUCAGUCACUUUAGGGGGUGUCCCUCCUCUCGGCUCCGGGCCCCACUUCCCGCUUCCAGAAGGAGAAGGCAAUCAACACUCCUGAAGUCUAACACGAAACCCAGACCCUCAUCCAUCCCUCUGGGCUGCAUUUUGCAACUUAGAGCCAGGCGUGAGGUGUGGGGUGAGGGGUGGAUUUGGCAGGGCCGUCGGCUCAGAGCCGGCCACCGCAGGAGAAGCGGCUCUGCAGGGCGCGGGACCCUCUUGGGGAGGACCGUGGAGCCCUUGCGCUGGAGCCGGCGCACGCCUGGGCGCGGAGAGCCGGGGCUGGGCGCGGGGCAGCGGCGCCGACCGAGGCUGCAGAGAGAUCCCCUGGCCGCGGAGCGCAGAGGCCCGCCCGUCAGUCCCGGGGAGCCGGCCGCUCUGGAGCGCCGAGAGCUCAGCAACACAAGCACCAAGAGGAAGGGAAACCAGCCCGCGCUGACAUGUAAACAGGGACCUCCAUCCGAGGAGCCAGCUCAGACCGACCCCCAAGCACACUCACUUGCACCCCGAGCCGCCUGCAACCCAUCCAUUUGCCCGCCCCAGGGCCCUCCAGGCCGGGGGACCCAAGCGGGUGGCGGCUGCCGCUCCCGCCCCCGUCGCCUUCGGCCUCGGAUACGUUCAUUAAUGCUUUUUCCAGCCCGAGUCAAACUUAUUGGGGGUUGGGGGGGAGAGUUUACUCGGGCUGGGGAUAAUCUGGAGCCUACUGCCCAGGAAGAUCCGGACGCAGACCGACGCAAACCAACCAUUAAAAAAAUGCAUCCAGUGGGAAUUUUUCCACUCGGGCCCUGGGCUGCCGAGUGGCGGCAGACUGGGAGCUGUUCACCGGUCGACGCGGACUCGGGGCGGUUUCGGAAGGAUCCCACCGUCGGGGGCGCGGACUAGGCUCCCAGCGCAUUGUUAGCAGAAGGGCGCCCCCGGACAGCGCGUCUCGGCCCUUUGCUCCUGGAGAGCUCCCGGCGCCCUCCCGGGGCCGGGACCGGCGGCACCCUAGGCCACCUAUCCGCGCCUUCUAGGGUCAAACCCCUCGCGCUUUACCUGGACCGGAUGGCCCAAGUCCCGGCGCUCGGCCAGAGCCGCCUAUGCAGUGCUACUCCGAGCGCAGAGAAACCUACACUACCGCAGGACGUUCCCUCCACGCUGGUCCACAGGUCUCCAGAGCGCAGCACGCAAGAUCGCCGCACAGACUCAGACUUCCCCUCGGGUGAGCCCCCGGGGUCAGUGCUCGGGACCACCAUCCCCACCCGGCCAGGAGGCCAGCCGGCCCUCGGCCCGCCUUGUCGGUCCCCGCCAUCCGGAGACCUCCUGCCGUUCCCCCGCAGUGCCGCCGAAAGCUCCAGUUGGGGCAGCCUUAGGACUCCAGGCGCAGCGAGGGGACCCCCACCCCACCCCCGGGCGCUCUCGGCCUGACUCCCUUCUCCCCAACCUCCAAAACAGGUUACCUUUUCCACGCUCUCCAGACCACGCUUUGGACUUUUUCACUUUUAUUUAAGAGUCCACCCGGGGAAGGAGGGAAAAAAAAUCCAGAGGAGAUCCGAGUCAAUUGGAAAGAAAAAAAAAAAAAAAUUCAAAAGGGUGUCCACAGCGGCGAAAAAGCCCAGACUCUGCCGACCUUCAAACGACAACAGGGCUUUCAGGAGGGUGCGGGGAGACCGCUUCCCACCCAGACCUGGCCAGAAACCCGGCACCCCAGCCACACUGCCCCUCUUUCAGGCAGAAGGGAUUUCAACUCCACCACCGGGAGGCCCCCUUCCUGGUCCUGGGCAAACACUGAGGUUGUUAAUGGCCACCCCACACCAGCCAGAUGCUCCCCCUUCCUUCCACACUCCUCCUAGUGCUGGAGAAGGCACCUCCAUGGCAGAAAUAUUGGCUAGGUUUCUCUUCCCAACUCCUAUGAGGCCGGGCCAAGAGCAUAUUAUUAUCUUCGCUGCACUGAUCAGGACAUUCACCCCCACACCUCUAGUACCCCCAACUCCUUUCAGCAGGAGCUUCCUCUCCCAUGGAGAGUUGCUCAAUGGGAAACUACAUUAAAAUGAGGACUUGCCCUCCUGUUUUAGCUGUGGAA